rnacentral:rRNA from 1 species
AGCGAACGCUGGCGGCAGGCCUAACACAUGCAAGUCGAACGGAUCCUUCGGGAUUAGUGGCGGACGGGUGAGUAACACAUGGGAACGUGCCCUUUGGUUCGGAACAACUCAGGGAAACUUGAGCUAAUACCGGAUGUGCCCUUCGGGGGAAAGAUUUAUCGCCAUUGGAGCGGCCCGCGUCUGAUUAGCUAGUUGGUGAGGUAACGGCCCACCAAGGCGACGAUCAGUAGCUGGUCUGAGAGGAUGAUCAGCCACACUGGGACUGAGACACGGCCCAGACUCCUACGGGAGGCAGCAGUGGGGAAUCUUGCGCAAUGGGCGAAAGCCUGACGCAGCCAUGCCGCGUGAAUGAUGAAGGUCUUAGGAUUGUAAAAUUCUUUCAGCGGGGACGAUAAUGACGGUAUCCGCAGAAGAAGCUCCGGCUAACUUCGUG